rnacentral:tRNA from 1 species
UCCCUGGUGGUCCAAUAACUAAGACUCUACAUUCCCAAUGCAGGGGGCCCAGGUUUGACUCCUGUUCUGGGAA